rnacentral:rRNA from 1 species
GAUGAACGCUGGCGGCGUGCCUAAUACAUGCCAGUCGAGCGAACAGACGAGGAGCUUGCUCCUCUGACGUUAGCGGCGGACGGGUGAGUAACACGUGGAUAACCUACCUAUAAGACUGGGAUAACUUCGGGAAACCGGAGCUAAUACCGGAUAAUAUAUUGAACCGCAUGGUUCAAUAGUGAAAGACGGUUUUGCUGUCCCUUAUAGAUGGAUCCGCGCCGCAUUAGCUAGUUGGUAAGGUAACGGCUUACCAAGGCAACUAUGCGUAGCCGACCUGAGAGGGGGAUCGGCCACACUGGAACUGAGACACGGUCCAGAAUCCUACGGGAGGCAGCAGUAGGGAAUCUUCCGCAAUGGGCGAAAGCCUGACGGAGCAACGCCGCGUGAGUGAUGAAGGUCUUCGGAUCGUAAAACUCUGUUAUUAGGGAAGAACAAAUGUGUAAGUAACUAUGCACGUCUUGACGGUACCUAAGCAGAAAGCCACGGCUAACUACGU